rnacentral:rRNA from 1 species
UACGUAGGCAGCGAGCGUUUGUUCGGAAUUACUGGGCGUAAAGAGUGUGUAGGCGGUGCUCUAAGUUCGGUGUGAAAUCUCCCGGCUUAACUGGGAGGGUGCGCCGGAAACUGGAGUGCUCGAACGUGGGAGAGGAAAGCGGAAUUCCCGGUGUAGCGGUGAAAUGCGUAGAUAUCGGGGAGGAACACCUGCGGUGUAGACGGCUUUCUGGACCAUUGUUGACGUGAGACACGAAAGCGUGGGUAGCAAACAGG